CUUAUACAUGCCUCACAAACUGUGACUCUUGGAGCUCCUGGAACAUCCCCAAAGUGGGGUCAUGGCACUUUGCCACAGUGCAGUCCUCUGAUUUUAUGUGCAGUACUCCCUGGCUUGCAGAAAACAAAAUGUCUGUCUGAUGGGAAUGGUGACUUCUUUAGAUUAAAGGAAGGAGAAACAUAAAAGAUGGAUGAGACAGCAAAUUGCAGAUAUGAGAAGAUCAGAAAGAGUUUUCUGAACAUGAUAUUGCACCUGAACAGUUCUGCUGAAGCAAAAGAUCUGGAUCAAGAUUCCUGAAUAAUCCAUGGGCAGACAAUUUCAAU